CUCGCGCAACCCUUUAAUUUCUAAUAUUUUCCAUCCGGAUAAUUAACACGAAUUUAUGUAAUUCAUAAAUUCUUAUACAUUAAUAUUAUGCUGAAUCAUCGUUAGCGAUGUAAAUUUUUAAUUUCUAAGGGCUCUUGAAAUCUGGAAAGCAAAGCAAAUUUCUUUCUCUUGCGCUCUCUCUCUCUCUUUCUUUCUCUUUCUCUCUUUCUAUUCUCCUCUUCUUCAUCAAAGUCACUUGGACCAGGAACCGUGUUGUUUCGCCAUCUCUCUAUCGGGAGUAGUCCACCCCCCUGAAGCGUCGACGUAUGCACUUUCACCCCCACCAUUGACGAGGAAGGGGGAUGGCGUCGACGAUAGCGUCGGCGUCGACGUCGACGUCGUGCAUUCACCUCAAUCAAUACGCUCGGCGAACCAGACCGGAGAGAGGAGAGGACUUCUGCAGGGACGCAUGGAGAGAUGGUAAGAGAGAUCUCCUUAUCGAUCAUCGAGGGAAAAAAGUUUCUCUCGAUCCCACAGACUCGUCUAAAAAUAUUUUUUCUGUAUUUUAUAUAUAAUUUUGUAUAUAAUUAACAUCCACCAAACUUCUCAAUAUCGAUUGAAUAUUUUUUCUCAAGGUACGCGUUACAACGAUACCUUCUAUAUUUGUGACUCAUUAAAUUUUCGAUAUUCGAUCGACCAUUAUUCGUU